CCCCUAGACGUUCUGGGCUGCACGCGCGCUACAAUAAUACGCACAGCGAGCAUCACCGAGCUCGAAAGGGCAAGGUAAACAAUAGAAAAGGUACUGUAAUGGUUAUAGAUCCUUGUAAUUAUUGAUCUUCAACGAGGAAUUCCUAGUAAGUAUGUGUCAUCAUCACGCACUGAUUACGUCCCUGCCCUUUGUACACACCGCCCGUCGCUCCUACCGAUUGGGUGAGCCGAUGAAACUCUCGGAUGUAGGCUAUUCAUAGCCCGCAGAAGAGAUUUGAAUCGUAGCGCUUAGAGGAAGGAGAAGUCGUAACA
rnacentral:rRNA from 1 species